GAUGAACGCUGGCGGCGUGCCUAAUACAUGCAAGUCGAACGAGGUGCUUGAGUAGCAAUACAAGAGUAUCCUAGUGGCGAACGGGUGAGUAACGCGUGGAUGACCUGCCCCAAAGUGUGGGAUAACAGUCCGAAAGGAUUGCUAAUACCUCAUGUGGUUGUUGGAUUUAGAAACUGACAACUAAAGCAGCAAUGCGCUUUGGGAGGGAUCUGCGUCCCAUCAGCUAGUUGGUGAGGUAACGGCUCACCAAGGCGACGACGGGUAGGGGACCUGAGAGGGUGGCCCCCCACAAUGGAACUGAAACACGGUCCAUACACCUACGGGUGGCAG
rnacentral:rRNA from 1 species